GUGCCAGCCGCCGCGGUAAUACGGAGGGUGCAAGCGUUAUCCGGAUUCACUGGGUUUAAAGGGUGCGUAGGUGGGCAGGUAAGUCAGUGGUGAAAUCUUUGGGCUUAACCCAGAAACUGCCAUUGAUACUAUCUGUCUUGAAUACCGUGGAGGUCAGCGGAAUAUGUCAUGUAGCGGUGAAAUGCUUAGAUAUGACAUAGAACACCAAUUGCGAAGGCAGCUGGCUACACGAAUAUUGACACUGAUGCACGAAAGCGUGGGGAUCAAACAGGAUUAGAUACCCGUGUAGUCC
rnacentral:rRNA from 1 species